rnacentral:rRNA from 13 species
GGUAAUGAUGGCAGAGAGGUCACACCCGUUCCCAUACCGAACACGGAAGUUAAGCUCUCUAGCGCCGAUGGUAGUUGGGACCUUGUCCCUGUGAGAGUAGGACGUUGCC